rnacentral:rRNA from 1 species
GGCUACACACGUGCUACAAUGGGUAGUACAGAGAGUCGCAAAGCCGUGAGGUGGAGCUAAUCUCAGAAAACUAUUCUUAGUUCGGAUUGUACUCUGCAACUCGAGUACAUGAAGUUGGAAUCGCUAGUAAUCGCGAAUCGGCAAUGUCGCGGUGAAUACGUUCUCGGGUCUUGUACACACCGCCCGUCACACCACGAGAGUUGGUUCGCACCUGAAGUAGCAGGCCUAACCGUAAGGAGGGAUGCUCCGAGGGUGUGAUUAGCGAUUGGGGUGAAGUCGUAACAAGGUAUCCGUACGGGAACGU